AUGAGACAUGCAUCAUUUGAGAAUGCAAGACCACUGUUGCAAUUCUUAAAAUCAGUAGAUCCCACAGUCCCCACGUUGACAAUUAUCCAUCAUAAUGCACAAGGUCUCCCAACUCACAUGGAGGACAUGAGAUGCCACCAUGAACUCAGCCUUGCUGAUGUUUUAUGUAUAACAGAAACACACUUGUCUGGAUCAUCGGUUUCUCCCCGCUUCCAGCUGGAACAAUACAACAUGGCCACACGCAACAGACACGUCUCUUACACAAAUCAUACAGACAUGGCAAAGGUAAAUGGCGGUGGAGUUGCAAUUUACUACAACACAAUUCUUACAGCAGAGUCCCGAAAAUACCUGCAAAAUGUGACUGACCUUGAAUUUGUUGUUGUCAAGGUUGAAUCGCCAGUCACAGCUUUGAUAGCAACUGUAUACAGGCCACCAAAUUACAGCCAUGUGAGGUUUUUACCACAAAUGCUAUGUCUUUUGGACUCGUUGGAAAUGAUGAAUCACCAACCAAUUAUUGUUUGUGGAGACUUCAAUGAGGACCUUAUGAGCAGAGGAAAAAAACCCAUCCAAGAACUGUUGCAGUCAAGAGGAUAUGCACAACUGAUUACUGCUGCAACUACCGAAAAACACACAUUGAUUGAUCACAUUUACAUAUCACAGCCAUACGCCUGCCUCCAAUCAGGUGUUCUGAAUACAUAUCACAGUUAUCAUAACCCCAUUUAUUGUGUUAUUCACUAACACAAAAUGACUGCAAGGGUAUGAGGGAUAUGGACUUGCCAAGUGUCACUCCCUAUUGGCCUACUCUCGCCUAGAAGUCCUACAGAUGGACCUAAAUAUGGAUAUCAGCAUCUACAACAAGAAGUACAGACACAACAGAACACCAGCCUCUACGUGGUGCGAAGCCUACUGCAACAAAAACGUGAUCUUCAUGUCUUUGCGACUGAGCACACUCUACCAGCAACACUGACAGCUCACCAGUGGGAGCUCAUAGAUAAGACUGCUGGUGUGCUGUCAUCCAUUGAAGAGCUGACCAGAAACGUGAACAGAAAAACUGCAACUGCACCUGAUGGGAUCCCUGCCAUAACAGAUGUGUUCUGUCCAGUGAAGGCAGUGGAGAAGCCCUACACUGAUGUUGAAACUGUGCCACUCUUCUAGAAACCAGCUACAAGGAUGGGCAGGUAUAGUGAAAUUAAAAUGCACCUUUUGUUCAACAGGUUUACAUACAGUCAAGUGAUCAAAAGACACCA